AGCAAGGAAUACAUCUAUGCAAUAUCCUUUGACUAAAUCGGUUCCAUUAAGCUUAGAUACAAAAUCCUGAUAACUAACCCGGUCUGGAAUUCCAAUUUUUAAUUGCCUUCCAUUGUCUGGAAAUACCCAUCCACGGGGUCUAGUUGUUACUCCUCCAGGCCAUACAACACUGAGCAGAUGUUGGCUAGAACUCGAACGGUUAGCUGGUUGUCCAUAAAGUGUCUCUGGGGGCACAACAGAUAGCCCAGAAUAGUUAGACCAGUAUCCAAUCUGCUGAUACCCAGUUUCAAUCACAUUAAUGAUAUCAUAUGAAGGA
rnacentral:misc_RNA from 1 species